rnacentral:rRNA from 1 species
UACGAGGGGGGCAAGCGUUGUUCGGAAUUAUUGGGCGUAAGGGGUGCGUAGGCGGUUUGGUAAGUCUUAUGUGAAAUCUACAGGCUCAACUUGUAGUCUGCAUGAGAAACUGCCGGGCUUGAGUAUGGGAGAGGUGAGUGGAAUUCCUGGUGUAGCGGUGAAAUGCGUAGAUAUCAGGAGGAACACCUGUGGCGAAAGCGGCUCACUGGACCAUAACUGACGCUGAUGCACGAAAGCUAGGGGAGCAAACAGG